UGGCGGACGGGUGAGUAAUGUCUGGGAAACUGCCUGAUGGAGGGGGAUAACUACUGGAAACGGUAGCUAAUACCGCAUAACGUCGCAAGACCAAAGAGGGGGACCUUAGGGCCUCUUGCCAUCGGAUGUGCCCAGAUGGGAUUAGCUAGUAGGUGGGGUAAGGGCUCACCUAGGCGACGAUCCCUAGCUGGUCUGAGAGGAUGACCAGCCACACUGAAACUGAGACACGGUCCAG
rnacentral:rRNA from 1 species